GGUAUAGCUCAGUGGCAGAACAUCUGCUUUGCAUGCAGAAGGUCCUAGGUUCAAGCAUCUCCAAGGAUGACCA